rnacentral:rRNA from 1 species
GGCGAACGGGUGCGUAACACGUGGGCAAUCUGCCUUAAAGUGUGGGAUAGCUCGGCGAAAGCCGAAUUAAUACCGCAUGUGGCUACUGGAGACAUCUUCGGGACGCUAAAGGUGGCGCAAGCUACCGCUUUUUGAGGAGCCCGCGGCCUAUCAGCUUGUUGGUGAGGUAACGGCUCACCAAGGCGUUCACGGGUAGCUGGUCUGAGAGGACGACCAGACACACUGGGACUGGGACACGGCCCAGACACCUACGGGUGGCAGCAGUCGAGAAUUUUUGACAAUGGGGGAAACCCUGAUCGAGCGACGCCGCGUGGAGGAUGAAGGUCUUCGGGUUGUAAACUCCUGUCAUUUGGGAACAAGGCGUAUGUAUUAACUGUACGUGCGUUGAUAGUACCAGAAGAGGAAGAGACGGUAACUCUGUGACCAGCAGCCGCGG